rnacentral:rRNA from 1 species
GACGAACGCUGGCGGCGUGCUUAACACAUGCAAGUCGAACGGAAAGGCCCUGCUUUUGUGGGGUGCUCGAGUGGCGAACGGGUGAGUAACACGUGAGUAACCUGCCCUUGACUUUGGGAUAACUUCAGGAAACUGGGGCUAAUACCGGAUAGGAGCUCCUGCUGCAUGGUGGGGGUUGGAAAGUUUCGGCGGUUGGGGAUGGACUCGCGGCUUAUCAGCUUGUUGGUGGGGUAGUGGCUUACCAAGGCUUUGACGGGUAGCCGGCCUGAGAGGGUGACCGGCCACAUUGGGACUGGGGUACGGCCCAGACUCCUACGGGAGGCAGCAGUGGGGAAUAUUGCACAAUGGGCGGAAGCCGGAUGCAGCAACGCCGCGUGCGGGAUGACGGCCUUCGGGUUGUAAACCGCUUUCGCCUGUGACGAAGCGUGAGUGACGGUAAUGGGGAAAGAAACACCGGCUAACUACGU